UAUAUUGAUUGAUGUCUCAAUUACAGGACUCGAGCAGUAUUUAAAGCUGCAUAUACUUGCAAAUAAAGAAAACUAGUUUGAAGUAAGCAAGGAAACCAAACUAUACUAAAUAUAAGAAAGCUAAAAUAAGUAAACUGUUGUAGAUAGGUGUUGGACCGUAACAUCAAAUCUGCAAUCUGAAAUCUCAUUAAAACCUUCGUUAAACCCAUCUUCAAGAAAUGUCGAUCUACAACCUAGAAACUUAAUCAUCCUAAACCCUAGAAAAUCAAUUUUUCCCUGAAAUCUAAAAUCAAAUCAUUCAACACUUGAUUCAGCAGCAGUUUUGUGGAUUAUCAUCAGGGUUGUGGGAUUUUUGUAUCUGAAGGUUCAUCGUAUUGAUCUUACUUUUCUUCUUGUUUGCUGCUUACGUAGGUGUUGACGUAUUGAGCUUGUUGGAUCUUCAUCGUAGAUAGGGGUUUGUUCACUGGAUAUAUUUGACACUUAAGCGACAUACUUGGCACAGGAAAUUGCUGAAGACAAGAGACGUUAUCAUUGUUUUAAUUGGUUAGAGGCGGUACUAGACAACCUCUAUAUAUGCCAUGGAGGAUCGCAAUGAACGGCUUCGAAUGCUCAAUUACACCCCCGUAGACACGCAGUGUCUUGCAGUGUUUUGGUUCCCUCUUGCAUCCCCCAAUACUGGAGUUGUUGUUGUACAGUAUCUUCCAGACAAAAAGGUUUGAUGUGUUCUAUUAUAAAUUAAAAACUAGGCGUCCAAGUGCUUAUUUUAUGUGUCCAUGUUUUCCUGAAAGAAGCUAGUUGGAAAUCAGGAAAAACAAAAAUUUGAUAUCUCCCCUAGACCAUUAAAUUAGUGAAAAAUGGGGGACGUGGCCUUUUGACUUAGGUAUGUAUACCCGAUGGUUAAGAGAAUUUAUGAUUUACUUUUGUAUGUUUUAAUAAUCUAUAAAUAAUUGGUUCAUGUGAUAAGCGUGUAGUCCGCUUUCUCUGAAUGGCUUAUGUAUGGAUCCUCAGGCAGCUUUUCGUAUUUUAGCAACUGCCGUGGUAGUUGAUUUAACGAUGCUGCGAAGAUAUUAAAGAAAUGAAUGCGGUCUGGAACUCCUUGAAAAAUAUCUUGGAAGACUGCUCCCAUUAAGGAUCUGUUCAAAUUAGAUCAUGAAAUUGACAGCAACGAUAAUUACAGUGCUUUAUAAUUUAGCCCAUAGUGUAGCAUCUCAACUUGCACAGCAAAGCGAGUUCAAAAUCAGAAAACCAUCUUCUUUCCAUUACGAUUUACUUCUUUUAGGAUUCCUGUGACGGGGAGACCUUUAUAUCAGCUGACCAAGUAAUGGGACAUGGCAAUUUGUCUCUCAAGAAUGAAUGGAUCAGAAAGUUUCCAUCAGAGGUAUUCGUGGACUGAAAUGUCCUAGUAUCAAUACUCGAUAAGGUUUUGGAUCCUUUGUCUCAGAAGCUACACCAGCAAAGUUAAAGCUCGGUGUAAGCUUCAGCUAUAUGAAAUGUAAAUUUCCGAUUUUGCAGGUUGUGAUUCAAACUCGUUCACUCUUGAUGCAUUAGCCUUUUUCAUCCUUCGUGUGCUUCAACGAGAAAAUCACCCUGAAUUCAUCUUUCACAUUGUCUUUUGCCCACUUCUACAAUGCGAGCUAUGCCCAGUACAUUCCCCUACCUUUCUAAAGACACCCUCUAUAUAUGUGUUCGACUGCUCAGCUGCAGGAAUGAUUUUCAAUGAGUUUAUAGAGGUUCAGAAAAUGUCUUUGUGGUCUUCUAUUCUAGAGAAAGAGCCAAGGCCAAACUCAUGAAGAUAUGUGAUGCAUUUGGAGCAAACCAUUACCCAUUGAAAUCAUAAUGUAAGCCCAGAUGUUGACAGAGGUGUGUGAAGUCCUGCAUUGAAUCAGUCAUGCAGAUCCCAAAGGAGGUUCAUUAACUGCCUUAAACUACACUCGGCUAGCUCAAUUCGGAUAAGUUCAUCUAUGAAGCAACGUCCAAUGCGCAACGCAACGCUGUUUUGCCAACGCUUAUUACCGUUGCACAAGUUCUGCGCAACGUUUAUAAACGUCACAAAAAGGCUGUUUUGGUGUAGUCUCUCCGACUUGAGGAUCGAGUCCAGCAGACACUAGCUACCAACCAACUCAUGAAAUUCCAAUUGUCGGGACAAGUAAACCCCGAUCAACCUUAUAUGUUGGCAGAGCAGCUUAACCAAGUAACGAAAAUCAGCACCAGCACAGGACACGGCAACAACAGCUGCAUACACCGGGUUCAGUUAACAAAGAAGCAACGUCCACAGCGGGCUGACAUCUGUCUCUUGAUGAUGAGACUGAUGUCAUCACCAAUGCUACUCCACUGCGAGUUGUUGGCCCUGGCCAACACUCGCCUUCAUUAUGAAUUAUCUAGGCUGGAAUUGUCAAGGUGCCCGCAAUGCCUUGACAAUUCAGAAAUUGCGUGAGUAUACACGCAAGUUUAGACCUUCAAUCUUGUUUUUAUCUGAAACAUUGUCAUCUGCACAUCACAUAUCUUUUUUGCAAUCUUCACUUGGUUAUGAUAAUAGUUUCGCAGUUCCUCGUAAUGGUCACAAAGGAGGUCUAAGUGUAUUGUGGAUUUCAAGUCUAAAGAUUAAUGUUUUAGUUGCUAACCAAAGUCUUAUUC